UACAGGGGGAGCAAGCGUUGUUCGGAUUUACUGGGCGUAAAGGGCGCGUAGGCGGUCAGCACAAGUCAGUUGUGAAAUCUCCGGGCUUAACUCGGAAAGGUCAACUGAUACUGUGCGACUAGAGUGCAGAAGGGGCAACUGGAAUUCUCGGUGUAGCGGUGAAAUGCGCAGAUAUCAGGAGGAACACCGGUGGCGAAGGCGGGUCUCUGGGCCGUAACUGACGCUGAGGUGCGAAAGCGUGGGGAG
rnacentral:rRNA from 1 species